UGGGGAAUCUUGGACAAUGGGCGCAAGCCUGAUCCAGCCAUGCCGCGUGAGUGACGAAGGCCUUAGGGUUGUAAAGCUCUUUUGGCGGGGACGAUAAUGACGGUACCCGCAGAAUAAGUCCCGGCUAACUUCGUGCCAGCAGCCGCGGUAAUACGAAGGGGACUAGCGUUGUUCGGAAUCAUUGGGCGUAAAGGGCGCGUAGGCGGCCUUGUAAGUCGGAUGUGAAAGCCCAGGGCUCAACCUUGGAAGUGCAUCCGAAACUGCAGGGCUCGAAUCUCGGAGAGGGUGGUGGAAUUCCCAGUGUAGAGGUGAAAUUCGUAGAUAUUGGGAGGAACACCGGUGGCGAAGGCGACCACCUGGACGAAGAUUGACGCUGAGGCGCGAAAGCGUGGGGAGCAAACAG
rnacentral:rRNA from 1 species